rnacentral:rRNA from 1 species
CCCUUAGAUGUUCUGGGCUGCGCGCGCUACACUGAAGCGUUCAACGAAUAUUCACCUUGCCCGGGAGGGUAAGGCAAUCUUUUGAAAACGCUUCGUGAUGGGGAUGAAUGAUUGCAACCAUUCAUCUUCAACGAUGAAUUCCUAGCAAGCGCGAGACGUCAGCUCUUGCUGAUUACGUCCCUGCCCUUUGUACACACCUCCCGUCGCUCCUACCGAUUGAGUGAUCCGGUGAAUAAUUCGGACUGCAGCACUGCUUGGUCUCCAGGCUUUGCAACGGAAAAUUAGUGAACCUUAUCACUAAGAGGAAGGAGAAGUCGUAACA